rnacentral:snRNA from 1 species
UAUGAGGCUGAUCUGGCCUGCUGUAUGUGUGACCCCAUCAAUUGCUAGGGCUGAGCUGGCCGAUCCAAAGGGUUAGCAUGUCCUUCAUCUGGUCUUCAUUGAGCUGUGGACUGCCCUCCAAAAGCUGAAUGCUCUGUCAAGAAGGAUGCCCUUCCCAGACAGGAAGAGCUGUUCUUUGGUCAAAGUUAUACAGGUG